CAACCCUCAAGCUCUGCUUGGUAUUGGGCCCUGCCGCUGGGCAGGCCUUAAAAUCAGUGGCGGUGCCGUCGCGGCUCCAAGCGUAGUACAUCCCUCGCUCCGGAGGCCUGGUGGUGUCUUGCCAGACAACCCCCAAAUUGUCUUCUAU
rnacentral:misc_RNA from 1 species